UGAAUAUAAGAAUCCAUCUUUUAAUUUUUAACUAAAAAAAUUAAGAACCGGUUCUUAAAACUCUUAAUGAAAAACUGGUUUUUAGCUUUUUUAGUUAAAAGUUAAGAGAUGGAUUCUUAUAUUCC
rfam:Brassica napus, WGS project CCCW01000000 data, contig: 2582